AUGGCAGCUCUCAGCCACCUGCUUGACAACAAGGCCCAGGGUGUUGGGUUCAUUGCCAUGGCCGACGCUCACAGGGGCAAGUGGUAUGCCGUGUUCAUCGGUAAGGUUCCAGGGGUUUAUAGUUCGUGGGAAGAAGCCAGUGCACAAGUGGCAUCGUAUAGCAACAGCAGCCAUAGAGGGUUCCAGACUAGGCAGGCAGCAGAACAAGCUUACUCCGACUGGCUGCGAAAGCAUGGAGGCAGCAGUGUUGAUAGUGGCAAGGUUGGAGGUAUCAAGGUGGAUCGUCAGUUUGGGCUGAAGCUGAAGAACUUCGUCAUCUUUGCCCAGUUCAUCGCCAUUGCUGUGCUAUGA
rnacentral:rRNA from 1 species